ensembl:lncRNA
CGAUGGUUGAGGAAGCUCGCGCUCGAUCACUACAGCGCGUGCAGGGCUGCGGACGGGCACCGUGCAGCGCAGUUGAGAGCGCACGCACGUGUCAGCGUGUUCUACGUGUGCGUGUGUGUGUGUGUGUGUGCUCCGACCGCACGUGCACGCGCGUGUGUUUGUGCGGUGCUCGCGUUGACUCCCAAGUGUCUCCAGCGAACCCGUCGGAAGGACCCGGUUGGAUAAAGUGUGUCUCGGAGUCGCGUCGUAAGUAACUGAAAACACCGGAGGACCUUUUUGAGCUGAUGCUUCCCGCCAUCACCAUGGAAACGGAGGCCAGUCAUAUGCUGGAGGCUGCACUGGAGCAGAUGGACGACAUCAUCGCAGGUUCCAAAGCGGCGGAGUUUUCCAGCAGCGCGUAUGAGCCGCCCUCCCCACUCGGCGCGGCUCCUCUGCAGGUCGUGCAGUUGGCCGAGGACUGAGAGUCGCCCUGGAGCUCCGAC